rnacentral:rRNA from 1 species
GUCUACGGCCAUACCACCCUGAACGCGCCCGAUCUCGUCUGAUCUCGGAAGCUAAGCAGGGUCGGGCCUGGUUAGUACUUGGAUGGGAGAAAUUGGGCAUAAAUU